rnacentral:rRNA from 1 species
UUUAAAGGGUCCGCAGGCGGACUGAUAAGUCAGUGGUGAAAUCUCAUAGCUUAACUAUGAAACUGCCAUUGAUACUGCUGGUCUUGAGUAAAUUUGAGGUAGCUGGAAUAAGUAGUGUAGCGGUGAAAUGCAUAGAUAUUACUUAGAACACCAAUUGCGAAGGCAGGUUACCAAAAUUUAACUGACGCUGAGGGACGAAAGCGUGGGUAGCGAACAGGAUUAGAUACCCUGGUAGUCCACGCCGUAAACGAUGCUAACUCGUUUUUGGAUUUUCGGAUUCAGAGACCAAGCGAAAGCGAUAAGUUAGCCACCUGGGGAGUACGUUCGCAAGAAUGAAACUCAAAGGAAUUGACGGGGGCCCGCACAAGCGGUGGAUUAUGUGGUUUAAUUCGAUGAUACGCGAGGAACCUUACCAAGACUUAAAUGGGAAAUGACAGGUUUAGAAAUAGACCCUUCUUCGGACAUUUUUCAAGGUGCUGCAUGGUUGUCGUCAGCUCGUGCCGUGAGGUGUUAGGUUAAGUCCUGCAACGAGCGCAACCCCUGUCACUAGUUGCUAACAUUAAGUUGAGGACUCUAGUGAGACUGCCUACGCAAGUAGUGAGGAAGGUGGGGAUGACGUCAAAUCAUCACGGCCCUUACGUCUUGGGCCACACACGUAAUACAAUGGCCGGUACAGAGGGCAGCUACACAGCGAUGUGAUGCGAAUCUCGAAAGCCGGUCUCAGUUCGGAUUGGAGUCUGCAACUCGACUCUAUGAAGCUGGAAUCGCUAGUAA